rnacentral:misc_RNA from 1 species
AUUGCUUUUAGCUUCAACAUACCUUCCCUAAAAUGAUGAAGAAACAACUCUCUGUUUUUCUUCUUUUCCUUGUUUGCUCAGCCACAGCUCUAGCUUCUGUUGCUGCUUCUGAAGAAAAGCCAUCAAAUCGGCCAUGGUUACAAUGGUUCGGAGAAACUCCACAACAUCAUCAUCAUCAUCCACCAAGUCAACCACCCAAAUGGGACCCUAAAGUUGUCAAGUGCUUGCAAGAUUUCCAUGUUGAAAAAAAGUGUGCUCGUCAGAUUUUAGCUUCUCUUUGGCAUCGCAAGGUUUCGGUUGGCCCUGAAUGCUGCAACAUUGUUAAUCAAUUGAGUGAAGAUUGUGCAGAAACUGUUUUUGCUGGCCUUACCCAUUCAUUUUUUACAUUUGUUUUGAAGCAAUAUUGUGCUCAUCAUAGAUCAGCUCCACCUCCUAAGGCUUGAUUGUUCUAGGAAUCAUGAUUAGGGUUUCUUUAGCUUUAUGUUUUAGGGAUGCUUAGGAGGAUGAAUUUGCUUGAUUAUUCUACAG